AAUCAAACCGGGAGAUAGCUGGUUCUCCCCGAAAGCUAUUUAGGUAGCGCCUCGUGAACUCAUCUCCGGGGGUAGAGCACUGUUUCGGCUAGGGGGCCAUCCCGGCUUACCAACCCGAUGCAAACUGCGAAUACCGGAGAAUGUUAUCACGGGAGACACACGGCGGGUGCUAACGUCCGUCGUGAAGAGGGAAACAACCCAGACCGCCAGCUAAGGUCCCAAAGUCAUGGUUAAGUGGGAAACGAUGUGGGAAGGCACAGACAGCCAGGAUGUUGGCUUAGAAGCAGCCAUCAUUUAAAGAAAGCGUAAUAGCUCACUGGUCGAGUCGGCCUGCGCGGAAGAUGUAACGGGGCUAAACCAUGCACCGAAGCUGCGGCAGCGACACUAUGUGUUGUUGGGUAGGGGAGCGUUCUGUAAGCCGUCGAAGGUGUGCUGUGAGGCAUGCUGGAGGUAUCAGAAGUGCGAAUGCUGACAUAAGUAACGAUAAAGCGGGUGAAAAGCCCGCUCGCCGGAAGACCAAGGGUUCCUGUUCAACGUUAAUCGGAGCAGGGUGAGUCGACCCCUAAGGCGAGGCCGAAAGGCGUAGUCGAUGGGAAACAGGUUAAUAUUCCUGUACUCGGUGUUACUGCGAAGGGGGGACGGAGAAGGCUAUAUCAGCCGGGCGACGGUUGUCCCGGUUUAAGCGUGUAGGCGGAGGGUCCAGGUAAAUCCGGACUCUUUUAACGCUGAGGCGUGACGACGAGGCACUACGGUGCUGAAGUGAUAAAUGCCCUGCUUCCAGGAAAAGCCUCUAAGCAUCAGGUAACACAGAAUCGUACCCCAAACCGACACAGGUGGUCAGGUAGAGAAUACCAAGGCGCUUGAGAGAACUCGGGUGAAGGAACUAGGCAAAAUGGUGCCGUAACUUCGGGAGAAGGCACGCUGGCGCGUAGGUGAAGGGACUUGCUCCCGGAGCUGAAGCCAGUCGAAGAUACCAGCUGGCUGCAACUGUUUAUUAAAAACACAGCACUGUGCAAACACGAAAGUGGACGUAUACGGUGUGACGCCUGCCCGGUGCCGGAAGGUUAAUUGAUGGGGUUAUCCGCAAGGAGAAGCUCUUGAUCGAAGCCCCGGUAAACGGCGGCCGUAACUAUAACGGUCCUAAGGUAGCGAAAUUCCUUGUCGGGUAAGUUCCGACCUGCACGAAUGGCGUAAUGAUGGCCAGGCUGUCUCCACCCGAGACUCAGUGAAAUUGAACUCGCUGUGAAGAUGCAGUGUACCCGCGGCAAGACGGAAAGACCCCGUGAACCUUUACUACAGCUUGACACUGAACAUUGAGCCUUGAUGUGUAGGAUAGGUGGGAGGCUUUGAAGCGCGGACGCCAGUCUGCGUGGAGCCAUCCUUGAAAUACCACCCUUUAAUGUUUGAUGUUCUAACGUGGCCCCGUGAUCCGGGGUGCGGACAGUGUCUGGUGGGUAGUUUGACUGGGGCGGUCUCCUCCCAAAGAGUAACGGAGGAGCACGAAGGUCAGCUAAUCACGGUCGGACAUCGUGAGGUUAGUGCAAUGGCAUAAGCUGGCUUGACUGCGAGAGUGACGGCUCGAGCAGGUGCGAAAGCAGGUCAUAGUGAUCCGGUGGUUCUGAAUGGAAGGGCCAUCGCUCAACGGAUAAAAGGUACUCCGGGGAUAACAGGCUGAUACCGCCCAAGAGUUCAUAUCGACGGCGGUGUUUGGCACCUCGAUGUCGGCUCAUCACAUCCUGGGGCUGAAGUAGGUCCCAAGGGUACGGCUGUUCGCCGUUUAAAGUGGUACGCGAGCUGGGUUUAGAACGUCGUGAGACAGUUCGGUCCCUAUCUGCCGUGGGCGCUGGAGAAUUGAGGGGGGUUGCUCCUAGUACGAGAGGACCGGAGUGAACGCACCACUGGUGUUCGGGUUGUCAUGCCAAUGGCACUGCCCGGUAGCUAAGUGCGGAAAAGAUAAGUGCUGAAAGCAUCUAAGCACGAAACUUGCCCCGAGAUGAGUUCUCCCUGACCCCUUGA
rnacentral:rRNA from 1 species